ACAUGCAAGUCGAGCGGGCGAGGUUGCUUCGGUAACUGAGCUAGCGGCGGACGGGUGAGUAAUGCUUAGGAAUCUGCCUAUUAGUGGGGGACAACAUUCCGAAAGGAAUGCUAAUACCGCAUACGCCCUACGGGGGAAAGCAGGGGAUCUUCGGACCUUGCGCUAAUAGAUGAGCCUAAGUCAGAUUAGCUAGUUGGUGGGGUAAAGGCCUACCAAGGCGACGAUCUGUAGCGGGUCUGAGAGGAUGAUCCGCCACACUGGGACUGAGACACGGCCCAGACUCCUACGGGAGGCAGCAGUGGGGAAUAUUGGACAAUGGGCGCAAGCCUGAUCCAGCCAUGCCGCGUGUGUGAAGAAGGCCUUUUGGUUGUAAAGCACUUUAAGCGAGGAGGAGGCUACUUGGAUUAAUACUCUAGGAUAGUGGACGUUACUCGCAGAAUAAGCACCGGCUAACUCUGUGCCAGCAGCCGCGGUAAUACAGAGGGUGCGAGCGUUAAUCGGAUUUACUGGGCGUAAAGCGUGCGUAGGCGGCUUCUUAAGUCGGAUGUGAAAUCCCUGAGCUUAACUUAGGAAUUGCAUUCGAUACUGGGAAGCUAGAGUAUGGGAGAGGAUGGUAGAAUUCCAGGUGUAGCGGUGAAAUGCGUAGAGAUCUGGAGGAAUACCGAUGGCGAAGGCAGCCAUCUGGCCUAAUACUGACGCUGAGGUACGAAAGCAUGGGGAGCAAACAGGAUUAGAUACCCUGGUAGUCCAUGCCGUAAACGAUGUCUACUAGCCGUUGGGGCCUUUGAGGCUUUAGUGGCGCAGCUAACGCGAUAAGUAGACCGCCUGGGGAGUACGGUCGCAAGACUAAAACUCAAAUGAAUUGACGGGGGCCCGCACAAGCGGUGGAGCAUGUGGUUUAAUUCGAUGCAACGCGAAGAACCUUACCUGGUCUUGACAUAGUAAGAACUUUCCAGAGAUGGAUUGGUGCCUUCGGGAACUUACAUACAGGUGCUGCAUGGCUGUCGUCAGCUCGUGUCGUGAGAUGUUGGGUUAAGUCCCGCAACAAGCGCAACCCUUUUCCUUAUUUGCCAGCGGGUUAAG
rnacentral:rRNA from 1 species